rnacentral:rRNA from 1 species
GAUGAACGCUGGCGGCGUGCCUAAUACAUGCAAGUCGAGCGAACAGACGAGGAGCUUGCUCCUCUGACGUUAGCGGCGGACGGGUGAGUAACACGUGGAUAACCUACCUAUAAGACUGGGAUAACUUCGGGAAACCGGAGCUCAUACCGGAUAAUAUAUUGAACCGCAUGGUUCAAUAGUGAAAGACGGUUUUGCUGUCACUUAUAGAUGGAUCCGCGCCGCAUUAGCUAGUUGGUAAGGUAACGGCUUACCAAGGCAACGAUGCGUAGCCGACCUGAGAGGGUGAUCGGACACACUGGAACUGAGACACGGUCCAGACUCCUACGGGAGGCAGCAGUAGGGAAUCUUCCGCAAUGGGCGAAAGCCUGACGGAGCAACGCCGCGUGAGUGAUGAAGGUCUUCGGAUCGUAAAACUCUGUUAUUAGGGAAGAACAAAUGUGUAAGUAACUAUGCACGUCUUGACGGUACCUAAUCAGAAAGCCACGGCUAACUACGUG